rnacentral:rRNA from 1 species
AUUGAACGCUGGCGGCAGGCCUAACACAUGCAAGUCGAGCGAGCGGAGGACGGGUGAGUAAUGUCUGGGAAACUGCCUGAUGGAGGGGGAUAACUAAUGUAAACGGUAGCUAAUCCCGCAUACCAUCAGAUGUGCCCAGAUGGGAUUAGCUAGUAGGUGGGGUAACGGCUUACCUAGGCGACGAUCCCUAGCUGGUCUGACAGGAUGACCAGCCACACUGGAACUGAGGCACGGUCCAGACUCCUACGGGAGGCAGCAGUGGGGAAUAGUGCACAAGGGGCGCAAGCCUGAUGCAGCCAUGCCGCGGGUGUGAAGAAGGCCUUCGGUUUGUAGAGCACUGUCAGCGGGGAGGCGUUACCCGCAGAAGAAGCACCGGCUAACUCCGUGCCAGCAGCCGCGGUAAUAC